rnacentral:lncRNA from 1 species
UUAAGCAUUGAGACCAUGCCCACUCUGCACAUAUAUAGACUAUAAGAAUCACUUAAUAGACUGCAAUUCCUAACAUAUGGAUGCUAUAGUGCAAAAACUGACCUUCUCUGCUGCGAGCUCAACACCACUGUGACAUCCCCCAACAAUCAAUAACAAACUUGCAUAUUUUAUUUUGUAUAUUUUCUGCCAGUAAAAAGAAUCCCCAUCACUUAAAGUAAAUAGUUAAAUGGAAAGUCUUUCACACAUCAAAAUCCAAAACAUGCAAUAUCAGUUUAUUAAAGAUCA